UUUCACUUAGCAUAGCACUCUCCAGGUCCCUCCAUGCUGUCUCCAAGGGUAAGAGAGCCUUCUUUUUCACUCCACAGUAGAAUGUGAGGCCUAUGGCUCUGUGCCAUUUCAGUUCUACCAAAUGCUUAGGGAUUUUAAGGGACUACCAACAUCUCAUUCCAUAUGCCAAGAAACUCAUGCUUCAGACUAUAAAACAACCUAUUUUGGAGUUAAGGGCAUCAGGUGACCUGGAUAACCAUGGGACCACCACUUUGCCACAGGGUCUCCCUGUUCCUGACCUUCAGUCCUCGGGGAAGCCUGCAUUAGGGACUCUGCUCUGACUGUCCAUCUAUGGGUAGCAGUUAGCGCCAGCAGGAUGCUUCUUAGGAGUUACAUUCAGUGAUGUAUUAUUAAGGUCAUGUAUUAUUAAGGUCACACAUGAAUUAUGUGCACUUACAGGUCGAGAUAAAUUAUGCCAAUAUAGGAGCAUCAAAAUUAUUGUGCCUUCUCUAUAUCCUCUUCCUACCUCCAAAAGAAAUGUCAGACAUGAUGUGACAAAUCUGAAAGGAUGUACCAAGAGUUCCCCAAAACGUCUUCAAGCCAUUAGAGAAUGUCCUUUUAGGUCAUUGCUAUUCAAACACAUAAGCAGCCAAUCGAUGGGAAUAGCAUACAGCUAGGUGGGGGAAUUCUGAGUUUGGGGUUGUGACUAAACUAAAAUACCAUGUAUUUCUCACCAGUGUUGGUGACAGUCUCCCAUACAUUCUAAUGUGCCAUGCUAAGAGGGGUUCAGUGUUGCUGGAACAACCAAAUAGGUAUGAACAAAGCUCUUCACUGAUAUGCCUCAGGCUUUAGAUCAGGUGCAGGCUGUCUCGAAUUAGCCAGGACCACAAAUUUCCGCCAGGACUUCUUCUCUGGCUCAUCUCAAGAUCCCUAGCGAGAUCAAUAUUUGCUUCGGAAAAAUAUGCAAAGAGGAUGAUCUCAUUACUAAAUAACUUAGCAGCCAAUGGGGAGGAGUGUAACUCAACUCCAGAGAUGUCACAAGGAACUGAGAGAAUAAAAGGUGCCUGGAGCCUGCACCGACCCAUCUGUACACCUUGAUGGGACCCCUGGAGAAAGGUGUGCCACUGCCCCAGCCCCACGCCACCUUCCCUUUGUAGCGUGUGAAUGACUCACAAUCUGUGGCGUCAUCUCCUAAAGCCUCCAGAGUAUGUAAGCAUGAGUAUCCGAUGGAAUAUGCUACUUAACUAGAAAUGUGCUUAACACAGAGCAUCACCUGGCACAGGCUUGCUUCUAUUUCUCGUAUUUAUUAAAGGGCAAAUUAAAUUUCUUCAUUGCCCAAAUUGAACCUAAUUUACAACCACUUAAAAUGGUGGAAUCCCCCUGGGUCAUGAAAAAACAAAACCCUCUUGUUUUUCUGGUUAUUUGGGUCAUUUGAACAAAGACGCAUCCUCACCGCCGUGAGCCCAAUGCUGGUUUUGAGCUGUGAACACAGCAAGGAGCAGGGCAGCACUGCCCUGCCAGGUUUCUGUCUCAUUUCAAUGUGGCCCACUGUCCUUUCCAGCCCAAGCAACCCUUCCUGAAGACUAUUCAAGCAACACCAAGAACAAUGUGAAAUCACACUUUGCAUUUAAGGAACACACGAAAUGUGCAUCUGAAUGGUUUUUAAAAUUUUGUUUUUAAUUCAUCCCCACUCCAUAUGCAGUCUAAAAGACGGUUCAAAGACAUCUGCUGGUUUCUAGACCACCUGUUUGAGAUUACUGGAUUUGACACAUUUCUUUUUCUCGAGUGGUGAUGGCCCCUUCUGCUUGUUUGCUCAAAUCCACACUCUUGCCUGUUCCCCCGGGGGGCACAUACACACUUGGGACAGUCGCUGGGCUAAUCUCAUUUUGGACACUUUUAUGUUUGCUAACUGGCCUUUUUAGGUCAAAUCUCAAUCGUGGGCUCACUGGAGUCAUGCUCUAGUCAACAGAGCUAUAAAUGCUAAACAGUUAAGAGGCAAAUAAGCAAAAUCAACUUUUGCUUUUUAUAUUUUCUAGGUAAGAUUUGGGGCUUUAAAAAGAAGUAUCUUAUGAAAAAAGAAAAAAGUAUAAGUGAGCAUUUAAAAAGGAUUUUUGUUACCAACAAAAGAGAAACACAAUUUAAUUCCAUUUGUUCCAUGGAGAAGAAAACAGGUAUAAAAGGAAGUGACUUUAUAUUUAGAUUUAACAUGGGUCCUAACCUAAUAAUAAAACUAUUUUGUUAAAACCACAAUAAAAAUUAAAACUAAUCUAAAAUAUAAUUGCAGUGUUCUUUAGGAUUUGAGAGAAAUGUUGCAGGGUGAAGCGAAUGUUCCCUUGGGUUGCCAAAUGCAUUCCGAAGAGUGUUUCCUAGGUGGUGGGAAUAGAAGGCCAGUGUCAAUCUUGUUUAUCCAUAAGGACUAACCUUCAACUACACAUACAGAUUUAAGACUUGCCCUACCGCAAUGUCCAAGUAUCGGAAAUUGUAAGCUAGAUGUACCUGCAUGGGAAGUUUUUUUCACAACUCACCAGAAUAAAGAAGCUCUCAGAAAAGGAAAAAAAAAAGCCACUGUGUGGCAACCUGCAAGGAAAACCCUAAUGUAGAAGAACAACUACUUAUUUUUUUUCAACCGCAGAGUUUGUUUUUGAAAAUUCACCUACUGCCCUGGCCAGUGUGGCUCAGUUGGUUGAGCGUCGUCCCCUGCACCGAAAGGUGGUGGGUUCGAUCAAUUCCUGGUCCAUGCAUGUCUGGGAGGCAACUGAUGGAUGUUUCUCUCUCUCUCAAAAAAAAAAAAAA